rnacentral:lncRNA from 1 species
AUCUGGAACUAUUUGGAUCCAAGGCCAGUAAGAAAGAUGCACUUGGGGGUGAUUUUUACAACUUCAGGUGCACACCUGAUAAUUUCAAAUGCACCUGCACCUCAGAAAUAUGGUUUACCAUAUCUCGUCAAAAUGUGCCACGUUCUGCAAACUGACCCCCACCGACAUAUGCAAUCUACCCACUGCGUGCGUGUGUGUGUGGGUAGAAGUACAUACCCAAAAUGCAUUACCCACCAUCCCAGAUCAGCUUGCAUCCACCUAUUUCUUAUUUCAUCUUAUUUUUUAAAAACUGUACGAACAAGACAUACAAACUAAAAAUUUAACCAAAGGUAAAUCCAUCCAAUUUUCCAUACCAUUAAAUAUGAGGUUAUUGUUGCCUGAUAUGAGAUACAUAUGUGUAUAUGUGGGUGUCUUAGAGGACAAAAGACAACAAGUAUGGAUAUAAACCCAAACUUUAUGACGCAAAUGGAAAGAUUUUCCAUCCUACGCUGCUCAGACAAAUGUGAAAUGGUUGAAGAAAUAUAGACCAUCAAACAAGAACCAAACGCAGAAAAAUCACAAGAAACGUCAAUAGUGAUAGUAGUGUUGUUUGUAAAUAUUUGAAACUACAUUAUCUAGCAUUAUCUAUCUUACUGUCCUCCAGAAAUAAAGUUUUAUUGUGUCCCAAUUACAAUAUGAAGAUCUAUGCAUCCAUAGAUUAGUUUGAGAUAAUUACUUUUCCAUGUUUGUUAGUCACAAUGCUGACAGGUUUUUGGACAUUGUUCUAACAUAUAAGGAUAUUUAUUUGAACAGAAUGAUGUGAAGUCAGCACAGGUGGUAAGCGUAUCAUAGCAUGGUGGCUUGGUGCUAGAUACUUGUGCCACAGUGGAUGGUAUCUUUUCUGCCAUCUCAGGUGGUGGUGUUGCAUUGUUUAGCAACAAUGGUAUAGUUGGUUUCUCUGUCAUCUGUAAUGAUGGUUCUGAAGGUAGAGUUGUUGGUUCUGUCAUAUCAGUUUGUACUGAAGAUAUAUAUAUACUUAUCUGGAUUCUUUGUUCUGAUGGUCAGUUAUUUGGCAUCUGGAAUGUUGAUUCUGAUGGUAUAUAUUCUGGUGUUGAUGGUGACUUGUGGAAUGUUGAUUCU